rnacentral:rRNA from 1 species
GUGGGGAAUAUUGGGCAAUGGGCGAAAGCCUGACCCAGCAACGCCGCGUGAAGGAAGAAGGUCUUCGGAUCGUAAACUUCUAUCCUUGGUGAAGAUAAUGACGGUAGCCAAGAAGGAAGCCCCGGCUAACUACGUGCCAGCAGCCGCGGUAAUACGUAGGGGGCAAGCGUUGUCCGGAAUGGUUGGGCGUAAAGGGCGCGUAGGCGGCCUGGUAAGUCUGGAAUUGAUUUGGAUACUGUCGGGCUUGAGUGCAGGAGAGGUAAGCGGAAUUCCCGGUGUAGCGGUGAAAUGCGUAGAGAUCGGGAGGAACACCAGUGGCGAAGGCGGCUUACUGGACUGUAACUGACGCUGAGGCGCGAAAGUGUGGGGAGCAAACAGGAUUAGAUACCCGGGUAGUCC